rnacentral:rRNA from 1 species
UCGAGAAUCUUCGGCAAUGGGCGCAAGCCUGACCGAGCGACGCCGCGUGCGGGAUGAAGGCCUUCGGGUUGUAAACCGCUGUCAGAGGGGAACAAAUCCGUAGGGGUUCUCCCUUACGGUUGAGUGAUCCUCAGAGGAAGUCCGGGCUAAGUUCGUGCCAGCAGCCGCGGUAAGACGAACCGGACGAACGUUAUUCGGAAUUACUGGGCUUAAAGAGUGCGUAGGCGGCCUGGCAGGUUGGGUGUGAAAUCCCUCGGCUCAACCGAGGAACUGCGCUCAAAACCGCCAGACUGGAGGCAGAUAGGGGUGAGCGGAACUCACGGUGGAGCGGUGAAAUGCGUUGAUAUCGUGAGGAACACCGGUGGCGAAAGCGGCUCACUGGGUCUGUCCUAACGCUGAGGCACGAAAGCUAGGGGAGCGAACGGGAUUAGAUACCCCCGUAGUCC